CACGUAGGGCGCAAGCGUUGUCCGGAAUUAUUGGGCGUAAAGAGCUCGUAGGCGGUUCGCUAAGUCGGGUGUGAAACCUCCAGGCUCAACCUGGAGACGCCACCUGAUACUGGUGUGACUCGAGUCCGGUAGGGGAGCGUGGAAUUCCUGGUGUAGCGGUGAAAUGCGCAGAUAUCAGGAGGAACACCAGCGGCGAAGGCGGCGCUCUGGGCCGGAACUGACGCUGAGGAGCGAAAGCGUGGGUAGCAAACAGG
rnacentral:rRNA from 1 species